CCUACGGGAGGCAGCAGUAGGGAAUCUUCCACAAUGGACGAAAGUCUGAUGGAGCAACGCCGCGUGAGUGAUGAAGGUUUUCGGAUCGUAAAACUCUGUUGUAAGGGAAGAACAAGUACGAGAGGUAAUGCUCGUACCUUGACGGUACCUUGCGAGAAAGCCACGGCUAACUACGUGCCAGCAGCCGCGGUAAUACGUAGGUGGCAAGCGUUGUCCGGAAUUAUUGGGCGUAAAGCGCGCGCAGGCGGCCUUUUAAGUCUGAUGUGAAAGCCCCCGGCUCAACCGGGGAGGGUCAUUGGAAACUGGAAGGCUUGAGUACAGAAGAGAAGAGUGGAAUUCCAUGUGUAGCGGUGAAAUGCGUAGAGAUGUGGAGGAACACCAGUGGCGAAGGCGACUCUUUGGUCUGUAACUGACGCUGAGGCGCGAAAGCGUGGGGAGCAAACAGGAUUAGAUACCCUGGUAGUCCCACGACCGUAACGAUGAGUGNUAGGUGGUUGGGGGUUUCCGGUCCCGUCCNGUGCUGAGACACGCAUAGCGACGCCGCCGUGGGAGGACGGCCGGCGAGGCGUUGAACGUACGAAGUUAGUAAGUUAGACGGCGUGAGACGNGCCGACGGACGACGACGAGGGAGGAGG
rnacentral:rRNA from 1 species